UACGUAGGGGGCAAGCGUUGUCCGGAUUUAUUGGGCGUAAAGAGCGCGUAGGCGGCCAUGUAGGUCCGUUGUGAAAACUCGAGGCUCAACCUCGAGACGCCGAUGGAAACCAUGUGGCUAGAGUCCGGAAGAGGAGAGUGGAAUUCCUGGUGUAGCGGUGAAAUGCGCAGAUAUCGGAAGGAACAUCAGUGGCGAAGGCGACUUCCUGGACCAAUACUGACGCUCAGGUGCGAAAGCGUGGGGAGCAAACAGG
rnacentral:rRNA from 1 species